CAAAAUCUGUCAAAUCUAGAACCACAAGGUCAGCUGGAAGGUAUCUACCCUCUAUGAACACUGGACUGAAACGACAGACUGACACUGCCACUGAUGGGUCACAUUUGGGUCCACUGACCCAGAGAGGAUACUCUAACUCAGAACUGAUCAAACCCAACCUCUCUAUGGCUCUCGAAGCAACAAAGGAAUGAGAAGCACCGGGGUCCAUCAAAGCAUACACAUCUGAACACCCAAUGAUGAGAUUACCUGACACCACUGUGUUCGA
rnacentral:lncRNA from 1 species